rnacentral:rRNA from 1 species
CGGCGAGUGAAGCGGCAAUAGCUCAAAUUUGAAAUCUGGUCUUUUUGAGCCGAGUUGUGUUUUGUAGAGGAUGCUUCGGCUUACGUCUCGGUCUAAGUUCCUUGUGGCAGGACGUCUCAAAGGGGGAGAAUCCCGUUUGUGGCCGCGACUUCCGCCAUGUGAAGCUCCUUCGACGAGUCGAGUUGUUUGGGAAUGCAGCUCUAAAUGGGAGGUAUAUUUCUUCUAAAGCUAAAUACCGGCCAGAGACCGAUAGCGCACAAAUAGAGUGAUCGAAAGAUGAAAAGCACUUUGGAAAGAGAGUUAAAAAGUACGUGAAAUUGUUGAAAGGGAAGCGCUUGCGACCAGACUUGCCCGCGGAUGCUCAACCGGUCCUUCGGCCGGUGCACUCUUCCGCGGUCAGGCCAGCAUCAGUUCGAGUAGCCAGAUAAAGGCUUAGGGAAUGUGGCUCUCUUCGGGGAGUGUUAUAGCCCUUUGUGCAAUAUGCUUCACUUGGAUUGAGGCCCGCGCUUCGGCUAGGAUGCUGGCGUAAUGGUCGUAAGCGGCCCGUCUUGAACCACGGACCAAGGAGUCUAACAUCUAUGCGAGUGUUUGGGUGUCAAACCCGUGCGCGAAAAAAAAGUGAACGGAGGUGGGAUCCUUUUGGGUGCACCAUCGACCGAUCCUGAUGUCUUCGGAUGGAUUUGAGUAAGAGCAUAGCUGUUGGGACCCGACAGAUGGUGAACUAUGCCUGACUAGGGUGAAGCCAGAGGAAACUCUGCUGGAGGCUCGCAGCGGAUCUGACGUGCAAAUCGAUCGUCAGAUUUGAGUAUAGGAGCGAAAGACUAAUCUAACCAUC